AUGGUUCUCAUUAGAAAACGACAAUCUCACCUUCCUCCUGGCCCAAAGGGCCUCCCCAUGGUUGGGUGCCGCCACAGGCUAGGCAGCAGACCGCAUGAAACCCUCGCUACAUUUGCGGAGAUCCAUGGCUCCCUCAUGACCUUGCAGCUUGGAUUUGUGACAACAAUUGUCGUUUCAUCAUCUAAGAUGGCCAAGGAGGUGUUAUAGAACAACAACCUUGCCUUUGCGGAGUGCACAGCCAUCGAAGCAAUGAAGAUUAAGUCUCACCAUAACGGGUCCCUAGUGUGGGCUCAAAUGGGUCCUCUGGGAAGCGAUACUAGCUCCACUAGUGUGGAGUGGGCAAUGGCCGAGCUCCUUCACAACCCUGACAAGAUGGCCAUGGCUAAGAUGGAGCUCUCAAGGACCCUCGGUGGUCCACAACACAUUGUGGAAGAGUCGGACAUAUCUCGACUCCCUUACUUACAAGUUGUGGUGAAGGAGACAUGGUGGCUCCACGCCCCCGUACCGCUUCUCAUCCCCCAUAGGGCUGAUACGACUGUAAAUGUGGCCGGAUACAUAGUGUCGGAACAUGCACAAGUGUUGAUCAACUAUUGGGCCAUUGGAAGAGACCCUAAAGUGUGGGACAAUCUGACAACCUUUCUUGCCGGAAAGAUUCUUGGGAUCCAAUGUGGAUUACAAGGGCAAUGAUUUCCAAUUUAUUCUGUUUGGCGCAAGGCGGAGGACAUGCCCUGGCCUUCCUCUUGGGGUUCACAUGGUCCACUUGAUGCUUACGUCUUUGUUGCAUUAUUUCGAUUGGGAGCUUCCUGAUGGACUGAAAGCAGAGGAGAUGGAUAUGAGGGAUAAGUUUGGGGUCACCUUGCAAAAAUUGGUUCCACUUCGACUGAUCCCUCGUCAAGGCUCGUGA